UACGGAGGGUGCAAGCGUUAUCCGGAUUCACUGGGUUUAAAGGGUGCGUAGGCGGGUUGGUAAGUCCGUGGUGAAAUCUCCAAGCUUAACUUGGAAACUGCCGUGGAUACUAUCAAUCUUGAAUGUCGUGGAGGUAAGCGGAAUAUGUCAUGUAGCGGUGAAAUACUUAGAGAUGACAUAGAACACCAAUUGCGUAGGCAGCUUACUACACGAAUAUUGACGCUGAGGCACGAAAGCGUGGGGGAGCAAACAGG
rnacentral:rRNA from 1 species